AAGAGCCCUCAACGAGCAUCCGGAUCUUGGUGCUGCUACGAUCCAAGUUUAUAAAGAGAAUUCAAGGCCUGGACGAAGUCGUGAGGGCUCUGAACGAUAUGAGCGGCAAGAUAGACGCAUACCGAGCGUGCCAAAAAGCGCUCAAGUUCCAUAAGUUAUACCUGAAGAAGGUGAAGAAAUCGAACACAUAGUAACAAGUAUCUAAAAUAAGUGAAAUGAAACUUUGACAGAAGCAAAGGUCAGGGCAAAUCUCGUAUCUAAUUCUGUUACGGGGUGUCGACUGGUUCGCGCAAGCAUUUAUACCUCGGAAGAAAUUUAUCCUUGUUUGCCUUGUA